AGGCCGUGUGGCCACAGAGCUGGCAGCGCCGCUGGCAGGGAGCUGUGCUGCUGGGACCCUGACAGGCUCUGUGUUCUCAGGGAUGGCCGGGGAGCAGCUGAGGGGGCAGCAGGCAGAGCUCCAGGUGUUGUGCAGAGCCCUCGAACGCCUGACGGAGGACAGAAGCGGUGCCGUAUCAGACCUGGCACUUGAAACGCUGUAUGUCCUCCGGGCCAUCCAGAGUGCCCGAUACUCCAUUCUCCAGAGGAUGCAAGACCAAAUCCUCUGGGCAUGGAGGACACGGCCUCGUCUGUCGGGCCUGGGCUGGCUGCGCUGCUGGAGGUGUACUCAGAGCUGACCUGAGAGGCUCUGUCUUCUGGGGCCACAUGGGCCAGCCAGGAUUUUUUAUUUCAUAAGGGUUGUUCUUUUCCUUUUUUCUCUUCUUUUUGGAAUGUAAAUAAUAUAGGAUAUGUUAGGGCUGAGAGGCUCUAUCUUCUGGGGCCACAUGGGCCAUCUGUUAUUUUUUUUUUCAUAGAGAUUGUUCUUUUCUUCGUUUCGUUUCCAUCUAGUAUGUAAAUAAUAUAGGAUAUGUUAUAAACCACAA